rnacentral:rRNA from 1 species
GAUGAACGCUGGCGGCGUGCCUAAUACAUGCAAGUCGAGCGAACAGACGAUGAGCUUGCUCCUCUGACGUUAGCGGCGGACGGGUGAGUAACACGUGGAUAACCUACCUAUAAGACUGGGAUAACUUCGGGAAACCGGAGCUAAUACCGGAGAAUAUAUUGAACCGCAUGGUUCAAUAGUGAAAGACGGUUUUGCUGUCACUUAUAGAUGGAUCCGCGCCGCAUUAGCUAGUUGGUAAGGUAACGGCUUACCAAGGCAACGAUGCGUAGCCGACCUGAGAGGGUGAUAGGCCACACUGGAAUGGGACACGGCCCAAACGCCCACGGGAGGCAGCAGUAGGGCAUCUUCGGCCAUGGACGAAAGUCAGACCGCGCAAGGCGGCGUGAGUGAAGAAGGUCUCCGGGUCGUAAAACUCUGUUGGUGGAGAAGAACGUUGGUGAGCGUGGAACGCUCAUCAAGUGACGGUAACUACCCAGAAAGGGACGGCUAACUACGUG